rnacentral:rRNA from 1 species
UACGAAGGGGGCUAGCGUUGCUCGGAAUCACUGGGGCGUAAAGCGCACGUAGGCGGCUUUCUAAGUCCAGGGGGUGAAAUCCUGGAGCUCAACUCCAGAACUGCCUUUGAUACUGGAGAGCUUGAGUCCGGAAGAGGUGAGUGGAAACUCCGAGUGUAGAGGUGAAAUUCGUAGAUAUUCGCAAGAACACCAGUGGCGAAGGCGGCUCACUGGUCCGGUUCUGGACGCUGAGGCGGCGAAAAGCGUGGGGAGCAAACAGG